GGAGCGGUAGUUCAGUUGGUUAGAAUGCCUGCCUGUCACGCAGGAGGUCGCGGGUUCGAGUCCCGUCCGUUCCG
rnacentral:tRNA from 2 species